GCUUACACAUGCAAGUCGAGCGGUAAGGCCCUUCGGGGUACACGAGCGGCGAACGGGUGAGUAACACGUGAGCAACCUGCCCCUGACUCCGGGAUAAGCGGUGGAAACGCCGUCUAAUACCGGAUAUGACACACCAUCUCCUGGUGGUGUGUGGAAAGUUUUGUCGGUCAGGGAUGGGCUCGCGGCCUAUCAGCUAGUUGGUGGGGUAAAGGCCUACCAAGGCGAUUACGGGUAGCCGGCCUGAGAGGGCGACCGGCCACACUGGGACUGAGACACGGCCCAGACUCCUGCGGGAGGCAGCAGUGGGGAAUAUUGCACAAUGGGCGAAAGCCUGAUGCAGCGACGCCGCGUGGGGGAUGACGGCCUUCGGGUUGUAAACCUCUUUUACCACCAACGCAGGCCCCGGGUUCUCUCGGGGUUGACGGUAGGUGGGGAAUAAGGACCGGCUAACUACGUGCCAGCAGCCGCGGUAAUGC
rnacentral:rRNA from 1 species